UUCCAACUUUCACCAGGAAUAGGGCAUUCUGGAAUUGGGGCAUCCUUUCCAAUAUUUAUGGUAAUGUCACUUGGCCGGAUACGGCUUUUCAGCUUUCCCAUCUUUGGAUGCUCUCCCCGGCCUCGAAACAGCCCAGGUGGUUCAACUCUGAAAUUUCCAACCUUCUCUUUGACACCAUCAACUAUAGCCCACAUAUACUUCUCCUCUUGCCGCAAUUUCUCUUCUUUCAAGGCCUUCUUCUCUUCUGUACUCAUUUGUUUUUUCUUCUCCUUCUCCCGCUGAUGCCAUUCAUAUAUUGGGGUGAAGUCACAGUCCUCCAACUUCUGUAUUACAUGGUUCCUCCUCAAUAAUUUUCGCCAAUCAUUCCAAAAGUUCUCAAGAAAUUUUUGUUUUUGCAUGUAGUCUGUAUCUUUCAUUACUGCAAACAUUGUUGCAACCUCCUCUUGUUCAGGAGUCAAAUCAACUGGCUGCCCCUUGUAGAGAAUCUUAAUGCCAUGAGGCUGGUAUGGAGGCGGGAAAAUGACACCAUUAUGAACCAAGGUAGUCCAUUUUUUCUGCCCGUCAGUGGAGCUAGGUUGCACUUUUGUUGACUUACAAUAUUUUGCAUUUUUCAUUUGUUUCUUGUUCUUCUUAUUUGUCUUCUUGAAUGAAGAAGAAGCAACUUUUAAUGCUUUUUGCUUGGCAGAUGUUAACUUAUUCUCUAAGGAUCCUAAAUUCUUUCUCUGACUGAGCGGAACAUUGUCAUCAUCAUUUGCCUUCUGCUCUGGCUUGACAGUUACUUGCUUAACUUUUGUUGUUGUAGAUGCAGCAGAAAGCUUAGGCUUUUUAGCAGAAGACUGAUCUGAUAAAUUAGCCUUAUCUAUAGGUCUCUUAGUUGGUACUUGCGAAAUUUUCUGUUGCUUGUCCUUUACAGUGUAACCAUUCUCUUGAAUUUUCAAAGCCAAA
rnacentral:misc_RNA from 1 species